rnacentral:rRNA from 1 species
GAUGAACGCUGGCGGCGUGCCUAAUACAUGCAAGUCGAGCGAACAGACGAGGAGCUUGCUCCUCUGACGUUAGCGGCGGACGGGUGAGUAACACGUGGAUAACCUACCUAUAAGACUGGGAUAACUUCGGGAAACCGGAGCUAAUACCGGAUAAUAUUUUGAACCGCAUGGUUCAAUAGUGAAAGACGGUUUUGCUGUCACUUAUAGAUGGAUCCGCGCCGCAUUAGCUAGUUGGUAAGGUAACGGCUUACCAAGGCAACGAUGCGUAGCCGACCUGAGAGGGUGAUCGGCCACACUGGAACUGAGACACGGUCCAGACUCCUACGGGAGGCAGCAGUAGGGAAUCUUCCGCAAUGGGCGAAAGCUUGACGGAGCAACGCCGCGUGAGUGAUGAAGGUCUUCGGAUCGUAAAACUCUGUUAUUAGGGAAGAACAAAUGUGUAAGUAACUAUGCACGUCUUGACGGUACCUAAUCUGAAAGCCACGGCUAACUACGUG